CAAGAUGGUGACAGCAGAGCAGGAGACAAAGCAGGGGCCCUUCUGAGCGCAGGACCCAGCAUGGCAACAGAGGCUGCGUGGCUAUGAAGCUGGUCCAGCCUCCCAGGCCGUUCUCUGCUGAGCCCUGACAACGUUCAGGACUGGAUCAUCCUCUGCUGUGGGGGUCGUCCAGUGCAUCCCUGGGCUUCUCCCAACUAGAAACCCCUGACUUGUGACAAUGUGUCUCCAGACACUGCCGAAUGUCCCCUGGGGGCCUGGUCACCCCUAUCUGAGGACAGCAGCCCUUGAAAACAUCCUCUUGAAACAUGAAGUAUGCGAUGUCCCUCCUCUGCUCGGAACCCUCCAAAGGCUUCUCUCAGUAGCAUCCAGAGCCCUGUGUCUCUGACUUCAUCUCCCACCCUCGUUCUGUUCCCUUCCAGCCACCAUUGCCCUCCUGCUGCUUCUCAAACCCACCAGGCAUCCCCUUCCUCGGAUCUUUUCCUAAUUCCCUCUGGAAUGUCCUUCUCAGAUGUCCCCAUGCCCACGGCUCAUGGCUCCUCUCCGGCCCUCUGCUCUGUCGUCACCUCGGCAGAAAGACUUUCUUGAAUGUUCCAUCUCAACUAGCUCCCCUUUUCUUUCUUCCGGGGUGUGAAACCCCUGAAAGCAGAGGCUCUUCUUUCCCCGGCACGUAGUAGGUGCUCAGCGCCUGACUGAUGGAGAAACCACACUCCUGGCCGCCCUCCUGGUCCCCCAAGCUUUAGGCAUUUUCUGAGAAUGGCCUUGUGGGGAUGUUCGUAAAGCACUUAGCACGGUGCUGGUACCCAUCCCAGGGCUCAGGGGAUGGACCUGCAUCCUCGUUGCCUGUCAGCUCUCAGCUCCGUCUU
rnacentral:lncRNA from 1 species